rnacentral:ribozyme from 14 species
AAAAAAAAAAAACAAGGGCAAGGAAGAGGAGGGUGAGAAUCUCGUGGUGUAUAUUUGUAUUUUCCAUUUUUCUUCAUUUUCUUAUGUUU